rnacentral:rRNA from 1 species
AGAGUUUGAUCCUGGCUCAGAACGAACGCUGGCGGCGCGUCUUAAGCAUGCAAGUCGAGCGGCAGGGUGCAGCAAUGUACCCCGAGAGCGGCGGACUGGUGAGUAACGCGUGGGUGACCUGCCUUGAGGAUGGGGAUAGCCGUUAGAAAUAGCGGGUAAUACCGAAUACGCCCGCGCCGCUGMGGCGGCGCGAGGAAAGGGGCUCCGGCCCCGCCUUGAGAUGGGCCCGCGUCCCAUUAGCUGGUUGGGGGUGUAACGGACCACCAAGGCGAAGAUGGGUAGCCGGCCUGAGAGGGUGAACGGCCACACUGGGACUGAGAUACGGCCCAGACUCCUACGGGAGGCAGCAGCUAAGAAUAUUCCGCAAUGGACGAAAGUCUGACGGAGCGACGCCGCGUGGAUGACGAAGGCCGAAAGGUUGUAAAAUCCUUUUGCGGACGAAGAAUAAGCCUGGGAGGGAAUGCCCGGGUGAUGACGUUAGUCCGUGAAUAAGCCCCGGCUAAUUACGUGCCAGCAGCCGCGGUAACACGUAAGGGGCGAGCGUUGUUCGGAAUUAUUGGGCGUAAAGGGCGCGUAGGCGGUUCAGUAAGUCUGGUGUGAAAUGGCGGGGCUCAACCCCGUCACUGCAUUGGAAACUGCGGAACUAGAGUCAUGGAGGGGGAGCUGGAAUUCCUGGUGUAGGGGUGAAAUCUGUAGAUAUCAGGAAGAACACCGGUGGCGAAGGCGAGCUUCUAGCCAAUGACUGACGCUGAGGCGCGAAAGUGCGGGGAGCAAACAGGAUUAGAUACCCUGGUAGUCCGCACUAUAAACGAUGCACACUAGGUGUUGGGCCGAGCGGUUCAGUGCCGGAGCGAACGUGAUAAGUGUGCCGCCUGGGGAGUAUGCCCG